AGUGGCGGACGGGUGAGUAACGCGUGAGAAUCUGCCUUGGGGUCGGGGACAACCACUGGAAACGGUGGCUAAUACCGGAUAAGCCGAUUGGUGAAAGAUUUAUUGCCCGAAGAGGAGCUCGCGUCUGAUUAGCUAGUUGGUGAGGUAAGAGCUCACCAAGGCAGCGAUCAGUAGCUGGUCUGAGAGGACGAUCAGCCACACUGGGACUGAGACACGGCCCAGACUCCUACGGGAGGCAGCAGUGGGGAAUUUUCCGCAAUGGGCGAAAGCCUGACGGAGCAAGACCGCGUGAGGGAGGAAGGCUCUUGAGUUGUAAACCUCUUUUCUCAGGGAAGAAGCUCUGACGGUACCUGAGGAAUCAGCCUCGGCUAACUCCGUGCCAGCAGCCGCGGUAAUACGGAGGAGGCAAGCGUUAUCCGGAAUUAUUGGGCGUAAAGCGUCCGCAGGUGGCGAUUCAAGUCUGCUGUCAAAGCACGGGGCUUAACUCCGUAAAGGCAGUGGAAACUGAAUAGCUAGAGUGCCGUAGGGGUAGAGGGAAUUCCCGGUGUAGCGGUGAAAUGCGUAGAGAUCGGGAAGAACAUCGGUGGCGAAAGCGCUCUACUGGACGGCAACUGACACUCAGGGACGAAAGCUAGGGGAGCGAAUGGGGUUAGAUACCCC
rnacentral:rRNA from 1 species